rnacentral:rRNA from 1 species
UACGGAGGGUCCGAGCGUUAAUCGGAAUUACUGGGCGUAAAGCGCGCGUAGGCGGCUUGUUAAGUCAGAUGUGAAAGCCCCGAGCUUAACUUGGGAACGGCAUUUGAAACUGAUGAGCUAGAGUAUAGUAGAGGCAAGUGGAAUUUCCUGUGUAGCGGUGAAAUGCGUAGAUAUAGGAAGGAACACCAGUGGCGAAGGCG